rnacentral:rRNA from 1 species
UACGUAGGGGGCGAGCGUUGUCCGGAAUUAUUGGGCGUAAAGAGCGUGUAGGCGGUUCGGUAAGUCUGUCGUGAAAUCCUGGGGCUCAACCUCGGGCGUGCGAUGGAUACUGCCGGGCUAGAGGGUGGUAGAGGCGAGUGGAAUUCCCGGUGUAGCGGUGAAAUGCGCAGAUAUCGGGAGGAACACCAGUAGCGAAGGCGGCUCGCUGGACCACACCUGACGCUGAGGCGCGAAAGCGUGGGGAGCAAACAGG